rnacentral:rRNA from 1 species
UCCAGACUCCUACGGGAGGCAGCAGUGGGGAAUAUUGCACAAUGGGGGAAACCCUGAUGCAGCGACGCCGCGUGAGUGAAGAAGUAUUUCGGUAUGUAAAGCUCUAUCAGCAGGGAAGAAAAUGACGGUACCUGACUAAGAAGCCCCGGCUAACUACGUGCCAGCAGCCGCGGUAAUACGUAGGGGGCAAGCGUUAUCCGGAUUUACUGGGUGUAAAGGGAGCGUAGACGGCAUGGCAAGUCAGAUGUGAAAGCCCGGGGCUCAACCCCGGGACUGCAUUUGAAACUGUCAGGCUGGAGUGCAGGAGAGGUAAGUGGAAUUCCUAGUGUAGCGGUGAAAUGCGUAGAUAUUAGGAGGAACACCAGUGGCGAAGGCGGCCUGCUGGACGACAACUGACGGUGAGGCGCGAAAGCGUGGGGAGCAAACAGGAUUAGAUACCCCCGUACA